GACGAACGCUGGCGGCGUGCUUAACACAUGCAAGUCGAGCGGUAAGGCCCUUUCGGGGGUACACGAGCGGCGAACGGGUGAGUAACACGUGAGCAACCUACCCUCAACUUCGGGAUAAGCCUCGGAAACGGGGUCUAAUACCGGAUAUCACUCUUGGUUUCAUGACUGGGGGUUGAAAGUUCUGGCGGUUGGGGAUGGGCUCGCGGCCUAUCAGCUUGUUGGUGGGGUAAUGGCCUACCAAGGCGUCGACGGGUAGCCGGCCUGAGAGGGCGACCGGCCACACUGGGACUGAGACACGGCCCAGACUCCUACGGGAGGCAGCAGUGGGGAAUAUUGCGCAAUGGACGGAAGUCUGACGCAGCAACGCCGCGUGAGGGAUGACGGCCUGG
rnacentral:rRNA from 1 species